rnacentral:tmRNA from 1 species
GGGGGUGAAUGGUGUAGAUUUCCUGAAACGCCGAUGUGCAAAAGGAAAGACCAGGGUUCGAUUCCCUGCACCUCCACCA